rnacentral:rRNA from 1 species
UACAGAGGGUGCAAGCGUUGUUCGGAAUUAUUGGGCGUAAAGGGAGUGUAGGCGGCUUUUUAAGUCUUCUGUGAAAGCUGCGGGCUUAGCCUGCAAAGUGCAGAGGAAACUGCAAAGCUUGAGUGCAGAAGAGGAAAGUGGAAUUCCACGUGUAGCGGUGAAAUGCGUAGAGAUGUGGAGGAACACCAGUGGCGAAGGCGACUUUCUGGGCUGUAACUGACGCUGAGGCGCGAAAGCGUGGGGAGCAAACAGG